rnacentral:rRNA from 1 species
UUACAAAGGACGACAUUAGACGAAUCAUCUGGAAAGAUGAAUCAAAGAAGGUAAUAAUCCUGUAGUCGAAAAUGUUGUCUCUCUUGAGUGGAUCCUGAGUACGACGGAGCACGUGAAAUUCCGUCGGAAUCUGGGAGGACCAUCUCCUAAGGCUAAAUACUCUCUAGUGACCGAUAGUGAACCAGUACCGUGAGGGAAAGGUGAAAAGCACCCCGGAAGGGGAGUGAAAUAGAACCUGAAACCGUGUGCUUACAAGUAGUCAGAGCCCGUUAAUGGGUGAUGGCGUGCCUUUUGUAGAAUGAACCGGCGAGUUACGAUUUGAUGCAAGGUUAAGCAGUAAAUGUGGAGCCGUAGCGAAAGCGAGUCUGAAUAGGGCGUUUAGUAUUUGGUCGUAGACCCGAAACCAGGUGAUCUACCCUUGGUCAGGUUGAAGUUCAGGUAACACUGAAUGGAGGACCGAACCGACUUACGUUGAAAAGUGAGCGGAUGAACUGAGGGUAGCGGAGAAAUUCCAAUCGAACCUGGAGAUAGCUGGUUCUCUCCGAAAUAGCUUUAGGGCUAGCCUCAAGUGAUGAUUAUUGGAGGUAGAGCACUGUUUGGACGAGGGGCCCCUCUCGGGUUACCGAAUUCAGACAAACUCCGAAUGCCAAUUAAUUUAACUUGGGAGUCAGAACAUGGGUGAUAAGGUCCGUGUUCGAAAGGGAAACAGCCCAGACCACCAGCUAAGGUCCCAAAAUAUAUGUUAAGUGGAAAAGGAUGUGGCGUUGCCCAGACAACUAGGAUGUUGGCUUAGAAGCAGCCAUCAUUUAAAGAGUGCGUAAUAGCUCACUAGUCGAGUGACACUGCGCCGAAAAUGUACCGGGGCUAAACAUAUUACCGAAGCUGUGGAUUGUCCUUUGGACAAUGGUAGGAGAGCGUUCUAAGGGCGUUGAAGCAUGAUCGUAAGAACAUGUGGAGCGCUUAGAAGUGAGAAUGCCGGUGUGAGUAGCGAAAGACGGGUGAGAAUCCCGUCCACCGAUUGACUAAGGUUUCCAGAGGAAGGCUCGUCCGCUCUGGGUUAGUCGGGUCCUAAGCUGAGGCCGACAGGCGUAGGCGAUGGAUAACAGGUUGAUAUUCCUGUACCACCUAUAAUCGUUUUAAUCGAUGGGGGGACGCAGUAGGAUAGGCGAAGCGUGCGAUUGGAUUGCACGUCUAAGCAGUAAGGCUGAGUAUUAGGCAAAUCCGGUACUCGUUAAGGCUGAGCUGUGAUGGGGAGAAGACAUUGUGUCUUCGAGUCGUUGAUUUCACACUGCCGAGAAAAGCCUCUAGAUAGAAAAUAGGUGCCCGUACCGCAAACCGACACAGGUAGUCAAGAUGAGAAUUCUAAGGUGAGCGAGCGAACUCUCGUUAAGGAACUCGGCAAAAUGACCCCGUAACUUCGGGAGAAGGGGUGCUCUUUAGGGUUAACGCCCAGAAGAGCCGCAGUGAAUAGGCCCAAGCGACUGUUUAUCAAAAACACAGGUCUCUGCUAAACCGUAAGGUGAUGUAUAGGGGCUGACGCCUGCCCGGUGCUGGAAGGUUAAGAGGAGUGGUUAGCUUCUGCGAAGCUACGAAUCGAAGCCCCAGUAAACGGCGGCCGUAACUAUAACGGUCCUAAGGUAGCGAAAUUCCUUGUCGGGUAAGUUCCGACCCGCACGAAAGGCGUAACGAUUUGGGCACUGUCUCAACGAGAGACUCGGUGAAAUCAUAGUACCUGUGAAGAUGCAGGUUACCCGCGACAGGACGGAAAGACCCCGUGGAGCUUUACUGUAGCCUGAUAUUGAAAUUCGGCACAGCUUGUACAGGAUAGGUAGGAGCCUUUGAAACGUGAGCGCUAGCUUACGUGGAGGCGCUGGUGGGAUACUACCCUAGCUGUGUUGGCUUUCUAACCCGCACCACUUAUCGUGGUGGGAGACAGUGUCAGGCGGGCAGUUUGACUGGGGCGGUCGCCUCCUAAAAGGUAACGGAGGCGCUCAAAGGUUCCCUCAGAAUGGUUGGAAAUCAUUCAUAGAGUGUAAAGGCAUAAGGGAGCUUGACUGCGAGACCUACAAGUCGAGCAGGGUCGAAAGACGGACUUAGUGAUCCGGUGGUUCCGCAUGGAAGGGCCAUCGCUCAACGGAUAAAAGCUACCCCGGGGAUAACAGGCUUAUCUCCCCCAAGAGUUCACAUCGACGGGGAGGUUUGGCACCUCGAUGUCGGCUCAUCGCAUCCUGGGGCUGUAGUCGGUCCCAAGGGUUGGGCUGUUCGCCCAUUAAAGCGGUACGCGAGCUGGGUUCAGAACGUCGUGAGACAGUUCGGUCCCUAUCCGUCGUGGGCGUAGGAAAUUUGAGAGGAGCUGUCCUUAGUACGAGAGGACCGGGAUGGACAUACCUCUGGUGUACCAGUUGUCGUGC